rnacentral:tRNA from 1 species
GUUUUAAUAAUUUAAUUAAAAUAUUAAUUUUGUAAAUUAAAAAUAAGGAACCUUUUAAAACA